rnacentral:rRNA from 1 species
GAUCAAGCUACAAAGGGCGCAUGGUGGAUGCCUUGGCACCAGGAGCCGAAGAAGGACGUGGUAAGCUGCGAAAAGCUGCGGGUAGCCGCAAACAGGCUGUGAUCCGCAGAUGUCCGAAUGGGGGAACCCACCUAGUAAACACUAGGUAUCCUUAACUGAAUCCAUAGGUUAAGGAGGGCACACCCGGGGAACUGAAACAUCUAAGUACCCGGAGGAAGAGAAAGAAUAAUCGAUUCCCUAAGUAGCGGCGAGCGAAAGGGAAGAGCCCAAACCAGAGGAAACUCUGGGGUUGCGGACAGGUCAUAACGGUUUAAAAUCUCUAGUCGAAGAGGCCUGGAAAGGCCGGCCACAGAAGGUAAUAGCCCUGUAGGCGAAAGAGAAUUUAAGCUAGACCUGAUCCAGAGUACCACGGGACACGUGAAACCCUGUGGGAAGCAGGGAGGACCACCUCCCAAGGCUAAAUACUACCUGGUGACCGAUAGCGUAUAGUACCGUGAGGGAAAGGUGAAAAGAACCCCGGGAGGGAGUGAAAUAGAACCUGAAACCGUGUGCCUACAAGCAGUCGGAGGGCAGUAACCACCCAACAAAACUUGUUUUGUUGGGGCCCGAUUCGCCUGACGGCGUGCUUUUGUAGAACGAGCCAGCGAGUUACGGUAUGUAGCGAGGUUAAGCACUUAAGGUGUGAAGCCGUAGGGAAACCGAGUCUGAAAAGGGCGAAAAGUUGCAUGCCGUAGACCCGAAACCGGGUGACCUAUCCAUGGACAGGGUGAAGGUGAGGUAAAACUCACUGGAGGCCCGAACCACGUUGGUGUUGAAAAACCAUGGGAUGAGCUGUGGAUAGCGGAGAAAUUCCAAUCGAACUCGGAGAUAGCUGGUUCUCCCCGAAAUAGCUUUAGGGCUAGCCUCGGGUUAGAGACGUGGAGGUAGAGCACUGAAUGGGCUAGGGGCCGUCUAGGUUACCGAACCUUAUCAAACUCCGAAUGCCAUGAUCUUGAUGCCCGGGAGUCAGACUACGAGUGAUAAGAUCCGUGGUCAAAGGGAAACAGCCCAGACCAUCAGCUAAGGUCCCAAAGUGUAUGUUAAGUGGAAAAGGAUGUGGGAUUUCCAAGACAACCAGGAUGUUGGCUUAGAAGCAGCCAUUCAUUUAAAGAGUGCGUAAUAGCUCACUGGUCGAGAGGUCCUGCGCCGAAGAUGUCCGGGGCUCAAACAUACCACCGAAGCUAUGGAUUCGGUAGCGUUACUAAUGCUUAUAUGUGAAAAUGGAAAAAGUGAGAGAGGACAUCUCAUGCUGCUACGCAGCGAAGCGAAGGAGCAGCAUCAGAUGCUUUAAAGCGAAAGCAUACCAUAUAGGCGAUAGUAACGCUACCGGGUGGUAGGGAGCUUUCUUAGCGGGUAGAAGUCAGACCGGAAGGACUGGUGGACUGCUAAGAAGUGAGAAUGCUGGCAUAAGUAGCGAGAAAUAGGUGAGAAUCCUAUUCGCCGAAAACCUAAGGUUUCCUCAGGAAGGCUCGUCCGCUGAGGGUUAGUCGGGACCUAAGCCGAGGCCGAAAGGCGUAGGUGAUGGACAAUCGGUUGAUAUUCCGAUACCACCAGUAGCCGUUUGAGAGAUGGGGUGACGCAGGAGGAUAGGCUGAGCACACUGAUGGAUAUGUGUGUCCAAGGCACAAGGCGUGCCUCCCAGGCAAAUCCGGGAGGAUAAGCUGAGUGUUGAUGGGGAGUCGUAAGACGAAGCAGCUGAUUUCACACUGCCGAGAAAAGCCUCUAUCGAGGAUGCUGGUGCCCGUACCGCAAACCGACACAGGUAGGUGAGGAGAGAAUCCUAAGGCGAGCGGGAGAACCCUUGUUAAGGAACUCGGCAAAUUGACCCCGUAACUUCGGGAGAAGGGGUGCCUACCGCAAGGUAGGCCGCAGAGAAUAGGCCCAGGCGACUGUUUAGCAAAAACACAGGUCUCUGCUAAGUCGAAAGACGAUGUAUAGGGGCUGACGCCUGCCCGGUGCUGGAAGGUUAAGGGGAAAGGUUAGCGCAAGCGAAGCUUUGAACCGAAGCCCCAGUAAACGGCGGCCGUAACUAUAACGGUCCUAAGGUAGCGAAAUUCCUUGUCGGGUAAGUUCCGACCCGCACGAAUGGCGUAACGACCUGGGCGCUGUCUCAACAAGGGACCCGGCGAAAUUGUAGUACAAGUGAAGAUGCUUGUUACCCGCGAUUGGACGGAAAGACCCCGUAGAGCUUUACUGCAGCUUAGCAUUGAGUUUCGGUAUUGUCUGUACAGGAUAGGUGGGAGGCAGAGAAGUAGCGUCGCUAGGCGCUAUGGAGCCGACGUUGGGAUACCACCCUGAUGAUACUGAAGCUCUAACCGGAGGCCAUGAAUCUGGUCACGGGACAUUGUUAGGCGGGCAGUUUGACUGGGGCGGUCGCCUCCUAAAGAGUAACGGAGGCGCCCAAAGGUUCCCUCAGUGCGGUUGGAAAUCGCGCGUAGAGUGCAAAGGCAGAAGGGAGCCUAACUGUGAGACUGACAAGUCGAGCAGUGACGAAAGUCGGGCUUAGUGAUCCGGUGGUACCGAGUGGAAGGGCCAUCGCUCAACGGAUAAAAGCUACCUCGGGGAUAACAGGCUGAUCUCCCCAAGAGUCCACAUCGACGGGGAGGUUUGGCACCUCGAUGUCGGCUCGUCGCAUCCUGGGGCUGAAGUAGGUCCCAAGGGUUGGGCUGUUCGCCCAUUAAAGCGGCACGCGAGCUGGGUUCAGAACGUCGUGAGACAGUUCGGUCCCUAUCCGUCGCGGGCGUAGGAAAUUUGAGAGGAGCUGUCCUUAGUACGAGAGGACCGGGAUGGACGAACCUCUGGUGCACCAGUUGUCACGCCAGUGGCACAGCUGGGUAGCCAAGUUCGGAAGGGAUAAGCGCUGAAGGCAUCUAAGCGCGAAGCCCACCUCAAGAUGAGAUUUCCCAUAGCGUUAAGCUAGUAAGACCCCUGAAAGAACAUCAGGUUGAUAGGCCAGAGGUGUAAGCGUCGUGAGGCGUUUAGCUGACUGGUACUAAUAGGUCGAGGGCUUGAUCAU